AUGGCAAAAGACGGCGACACCGUUGAGAUCAUAAACGUUAUCAAACCUUCCUCUAAGCCUUCGUCGUUGAAGUUUCCGUUGAGCUUUUUCGAAGCUACGGUGGCUUCCACGGUGGCGUUGAGCUUUAUCGUCGGUCUUCUCGGUGUUUAUCUCACCAUGCCUGAUUCUGAUUACAGCUUCCUUAAACGACCUCGUAGCCUCCAUGAUCUUCAACUUCUAAGGUAG